GACGAACGCUGGCGGCGUGCCUAAUACAUGCAAGUAGAACGCUGAAGAGAGGAGCUUGCUCUUCUUGGAUGAGUUGCGAACGGGUGAGUAACGCGUAGGUAACCUGCCUGGUAGCGGGGGAUAACUAUUGGAAACGAUAGCUAAUACCGCAUAAUAGUAGAUGUUGCAUGACAUUUGCUUAAAAGGUGCAAUUGCAUCACUACCAGAUGGACCUGCGUUGUAUUAGCUAGUUGGUGAGGUAACGGCUCACCAAGGCAACGAUACAGAGCCGACCUGAUAGGGUGAUCGGCCACACGGGGACUGAGACACGGCCCAGACUCCUACGGGAGGCGGCAGUAGGGAAUCUUCGGCAAUGGACGGAAGUCUGACCGAGCAACGCCGCGUGAGUGAAGAAGGUUUUCGGAUCGUAAAGCUCUGUUGUAGGAGAAGAACGAGUGUGAGAGUGGAAAGUUCACACUGUGACGGUAUCUUAACAGAAAGGGACGGCUAACUACGUG
rnacentral:rRNA from 1 species